rnacentral:rRNA from 1 species
CCUACGGGUGGCAGCAGUCGAGAAUCAUUCACAAUGGGGGAAACCCUGAUGGUGCGACGCCGCGUGGGGGAAUGAAGGUCUUCGGAUUGUAAACCCCUGUCAUGUGGGAGCAAAUUAAAAAGAUCGUACCACAAGAGGAAGAGACGGCUAACUCUGUGCCAGCAGCCGCGGUAAUACAGAGGUCUCAAGCGUUGUUCGGAAUCACUGGGCGUAAGGCGUGCGUAGGCUGUUUCGUAAGUCGUGUGUGAAAGGCGCGGGCUCAACCCGCGGACGGCACAUGAUACUGCGAGACUAGAGUAAUGGAGGGGGAACCGGAAUUCUCGGUGUAGCAGUGAAAUGCGUAGAUAUCGAGAGGAACACUCGUGGCGAAGGCGGGUUCCUGGACAUUAACUGACGCUGAGGCACGAAGGCCAGGGGAGCGAAAGGGAUUAGAUACCCGAGUAGUC